UGGACGACUCUCGGCAACGGAUAUCUUGGCUCUCGCAUCGAUGAAGAACGUAGCGAAAUGCGAUACCUGGUGUGAAUUGCAGAAUCCCGUGAACCAUCGAGUCUUUGAACGCAAGUUGCGCCCGAGGCCAUCCGGCCAAGGGCACGCCUGCCUGGGCGUCACGC
rnacentral:rRNA from 1 species